GCCCGCAUAGCUCAAUGGACAAGAGCGGCCGGCUUCUAUCCGGUAGGCUGCAAGUUCGACUCUUGCUGCGGGCACCA
rnacentral:tRNA from 1 species